GUUUAUCAAAAACAUGUCUUUUUGUAAUUAAUUUAAAGUCUAACCUGCCCCCUGAAUUUUUUUAAAUGGCCGCAGUAUUUUAACUGUGCAAAGGUAGCAUAAUCAUUAGUCUUUUAAUUGGAGGCUGGAAUGAACGGUUGAAUGAGACAUUAACUGUUUCUUAUAAAAUAAUUUAUAGAAUUUUAUAUUUUAGUAAGAAAGCUAAAAUAAAUUUGAAAGACAAGAAGACCCUAUAAAUCUUGAUAUUUUAUUGGGGUGAUAAUAUAAUUGUGAAACUUGUAGGUAUAAUUUACAUUAAUAAAUGAGUUUUUGAUCUAAAAGUGAUUGAUUAAUAAAAUAAGAUACUUUAGGGAUAACAGCAUAAUUUUUUUGGCGAGUUCGUAUCAAUAAAAGAGAUUAUGACCUCGAUGU
rnacentral:rRNA from 1 species